AAAAAUCCAAAAAUAGGUCAGUAGUAUGAUUUUGGAGAGGCAGCGAUGUGUAAAUAGAGAUAUGGCAGAACGGAUAAUGAGAACAAAAUACGAGAUGCAACGAGAGAGGAGCAGAUCCUGGGAUUUUUUCUUGCCGAAACUCUAUUCUUUUACACCCAACUAUAUUGUGUAAUUGUUUGAGUGUACGUAGAAACACAUUUGGCCUGAUGGUACAGUAUUUUGUAACUCAAGCGAACUCUCCCCGUUCGAUUCCCACUAGCUGCAAAUUAAUAAAUUUUACCUUU